rnacentral:rRNA from 1 species
UGCCAGCAGCCGCGGUAAUACGGAGGGUGCAAGCGUUGUUCGGAAUCAUUGGGUUUAAAGGGUCCGUAGGCGGGCUAUUAAGUCAGAGGUGAAAGUUUGCGGCUCAACCGUAAAAUUGCCUUUGAUACUGGUAGUCUUGAAUUAGUAUGAAGUGGUUAGAAUAAGUAGUGUAGCGGUGAAAUGCAUAGAUAUUACAUAGAAUACCGAUUGCGAAGGCAGGUCACUAACAACGCAUUGACGCUGAGGGACGAAAGCGUGGGGAGCGAACAGGAUUAGAUA